rnacentral:snoRNA from 1 species
AUGACCUUACCUGAAUAUGAUCUGUUCUAGAGGAUUUAACGUCAGCUUGGUUGAAGAAUCAUGAUCGCUCCAUCAUAGCGUGAGUAAUGGCUCGGUGGCUCUCAUGAUCAUAUUGGCUGUAGAGGAACGGUACCUAGCUUUCGACGGCUGGGGAUGGUCAGGCAGCUGUCUGAUAGUUC